UUACAAACCUUACCGAAAGCAAUUGGAGGGCAAGUCUGGUGCCAGCAGCCGCGGUAAUUCCAACUCCAAAAGCGUAUAUUAAAGUUGUUGCAGUUAAAAAGCUCGUAGUUGAAGUUCUGGCUGUAUUGGGCCUUAGCACUUGAUGCGGAGGAACCAGCAGUCAUCCGCUUGCAAAUACAUGUCCUUCCUUAACCGGUAGGCUGUAUAAGUAAGCACUUUACCUUGAGAAAAACAGAGUGUUCCAGGCAGGUUUGUCCGGAAUGCGUUAGCAUGGAAUAAUAGAAUAUGACUGAAGUCGAUUUAUUGGUUUAAGGCUUUAGUAAUGAUUAAUAGGAACAAUCGGGGGCAUUGGUACUUGUCAGUCAGAGGUGAAAUUCUAGGAUUUGACAAAGACUAACUGAUGCGAAAGCGUUUGCCAAGAAUGUUUUCAUUAAUCAAGAACAAAAGUUAGGGGAUCAAAGACGAUCAGAUACCGUCCUAGUCCUAACUAUAAACUAUACCGACUCGGAUUCAGAUGAAUUUUAAAGUUCAUUUGGGACCGUAGGAGAAAUCAAAGUCUUUGGGUUCUGGGGGGAGUAUGGUCGCAAGGCUGAAACUUAAAGGAAUUGACGGUUUUGCACCACCAUGGAGUGGAGCCUGCGGCUUAAUUUGACCCAACACUGGGAAACUCAUCAGGGCAAGAAGAUUUUAGGAUUGACAGAUUGAGAGUUCUUUCUUGAUUGGUCUAGUGGUGGUGCAUGGCCGUUCUUAGUUGGUGGAGUGAUUUGUCUGGUUAAUUCCGUUAACGAACGAGACCUUAACCUGCUAACUAGUACUUUGAUUUUCAAUCGGAGUUACUUCUUAGAGGGACUAUGUGAGUAAUCACAUGGAAGUUUGAGGCAAUAACAGGUCUGUGAUGCCCUUAGAUGUCCUGAGCUGCACGCGCGCUACAAUGACACAUUCAGCGAGUAUUUCCUGACCCGAAAGGGCUCGGGUAAUCUUUUCAGUGUGUGUCGUGAUAGGGAUAGAUCUUUGUAAUUAUGGAUCUUGAACGAGGAAUUCCUAGUAAGCGCACGUCAUCAGCGUGUGCUGAUUACGUCCCUGCAAAAUGUACACACCGCCCGUCGCUAUUACCGAUUGGGUGUAUAGGUGAACCUUCUCGAUAGCCGCAAGGCUAGAAAUUAAGUAAACCUUUGCACCUAGAGGAAAUAAAAGUCGUAACAAGGUUUCCGUAGGUGAACCUGCGGAAG
rnacentral:rRNA from 1 species